rnacentral:rRNA from 1 species
CCCUUAGAUGUUCUGGGCCGCACGCGCGCUACACUGAUGCAUUCAACGAGCCUAGCCUUGACCGAGAGGUCCGGGUAAUCUUUGAAACUGCAUCGUGAUGGGGCUAGAUUAUUGCAAUUAUUAAUCUUCAACGAGGAAUGCCUAGUAAGCGUGAUUCAUCAAAUCGCGUUGAUUACGUCCCUGCCCUUUGUACACACCGCCCGUCGCUCCUACCGAUUGAGUGUGUUGGUGAGGAGUUCGGAUUGGCUCUUAGUGGUGGUUCGCCACCACCUAGAGCUGAGAAGUGCUCCAAACCGCCCCACUUAGAGGAAGGAGAAGUCGUAACA